CACAUCUCAAACGCGUCGAUGCGUUGGC
rnacentral:sRNA from 1 species